rnacentral:rRNA from 1 species
AGAGUUUGAUCAUGGCUCAGAGCGAACGCUGGCGGCAGGCUUAACACAUGCAAGUCGAGCGCCCCGCAAGGGGAGCGGCAGACGGGAGAGUAACACGUGGGAACGUACCCUUCAGUUCGGAACAACCCAGGGAAACUUGGGCUAAUACCGAAUACGUCCGUAAGGAGAAAGAUUUAUCGCUGAAGGAUCGGCCCGCGUCUGAUUAGCUAGUUGGUGGGGUAACGGCCCACCAAGGCUACGAUCAGUAGCUGGUCUGAGAGGAUGAUCAGCCUCACUGGGACUGAGACACGGCCCAGACUCCUACGGGAGGCAGCAGUGGGGAAUAUUGGACAAUGGGCGCAAGCCUGAUCCAGCCAUGCCGCGUGGGUGAUGAAGGCCCUAGGGUUGUAAAGCCCUUUCGGCGGGGAAGAUAAUGACGGUACCCGCAGAAGAAGCCCCGGCUAACUUCGUGCCAGCAGCCGCGGUAAUACGAAGGGGGCUAGCGUUGCUCGGAAUCACUGGGCGUAAAGCGCACGUAGGCGGGUUGUUAAGUCGGGGGUGAAAUCCUGGAGCUCAACUCCAGAACUGCCCUCGAUACUGGCGAUCUUGAGUCCGGGAGAGGUGAGUGGAACUGCGAGUGUAGAGGUGAAAUUCGUAGAUAUUCGCAAGAACACCAGUGGCGAAGGCGGCUCACUGGCCCGGUACUGACGCUGAUGUGCGAAAGCGUGGGGAGCAAACAGGAUUAGAUACCCCUGUAGUCC